CCUACGGGUGGCUGCAGUGGGGAAUUUUGGACAAUGGGCGCAAGCCUGAUCCAGCAAUGCCGCGUGCAGGAAGAAGGCCUUCGGGUUGUAAACUGCUUUUGUACGGAACGAAACGGUCUGGGUUAAUACCUCGGGCUAAUGACGGUACCGUAAGAAUAAGCACCGGCUAACUACGUGCCAGCAGCCGCGGUAAUACGUAGGGUGCGAGCGUUAAUCGGAAUUACUGGGCGUAAAGCGUGCGCAGGCGGUUUUGUAAGACAGUCGUGAAAUCCCCGGGCUCAACCUGGGAAUUGCGAUUGUGACUGCAAAGCUGGAGUGCGGCAGAGGGGGAUGGAAUUCCGCGUGUAGCAGUGAAAUGCGUAGAUAUGCGGAGGAACACCGAUGGCGAAGGCAAUCCCCUGGGCCUGCACUGACGCUCAUGCACGAAAGCGUGGGGAGCAAACAGGAUUAGAUACCCCUGUAGUC
rnacentral:rRNA from 1 species